AUGUCUGGGAAACUGCCUGAUGGAGGGGGAUAACUACUGGAAACGGUAGCUAAUACCGCAUAACGUCGCAAGACCAAAGAGGGGACCUUCGGGCCUCUUGCCAUCGGAUGUGCCCAGAUGGGAUUAGCUAGUAGGUGGGGUAACGGCUCACCUAGGCGACGAUCCCUAGCUGGUCUGAGAGGAUGACCAGCCACACUGGAACUGAGACACGGUCCAG
rnacentral:rRNA from 1 species